UUUGUUGUUUUUCUAAGAAGAGAGAAGUUUUGGACCAAAAGAAGAUGUUUCUUUUUUAAAAUGGAUUUAAUUUUGUUUCUCAGAAGACAGAAGAUUUGGACCAAAAGAAGAUAGUUGUUUUUAAGACAUUUGCGUAUUUUUUUGUUUUCCUGAGAAAUGUUUUUGGUUUUCUUUCUAUCUUUCAGGGUGAGGAAGAGGUGGAGGGUUGGGUGAAAUAUGAGCCGUCUCACGGACAUGGCAUUUGUUUCUUUUCAGGAGUAUGGAGGACAGGAGAAAUCAAAAUAAGAUGUGAACAGAUGAGGAAACAAAGGAAAUAAGGAGGAGGGAGAGGAGAGGAGAGGAGGUGUGGGGCACAAUGUCUU